AUGAGCAAGGAGGAUGGAGGGCAGCACCACCUGCCCUGGAUCAUCGCGAGUGUUAACAAGGUGACAGGCCUCCAGCAGCUUCCCCAUGGGAGGCUUGGAGGUGAAGAGAUAUGCAGCCGUGUCACAUGGUGUCAUAAGUGGUGGAAUGAGAUGACCCCAAAGCCCUGCUCUGAUUACCAGAUUCCCUUUGCCCCAGCACCAAAGCAGAGGAGACCCAGAAGGAUAAGCCAGAGCAUUGGAGAGCUGGGUUCCCACCCCAACAGUAAGGGCUGUUGUGAGGAUUAAAUGACGCCGUGCAGAUGAAGCAAUGGCACCUACCAAGCACUGACAAGAGCUCCUGGGUUAUAAGGGUACAGCUGUAUGGUCCCUUUAACUUCUUGGACCUUCAGUUUCCUCCGUUGGCAGCUGAGGAUCUAAAACCUUCGAAGCUUACUAUAAUUAGUCAAACAGAGUCACAUGUAUGGAAGCACCCUGAGAAAGACGAAAGCCAAGAAAGUGUAUGCUACUAAGGAGGCCUGUGGGCUCUGGACUUCGAAUUAGAAGGUCUGAGGGUAGGUAGAUUCUGGCUCCUCCACUUGGCAGCCCUCUGACCUUUUUCAAGUCAUUCAGUCCUGUCUUUGACCAUCCAGCCCCUGGACUGUCAAAUGGUCCUGCCCUUACAGAGGUGUUGCGAGGAUGGAGGGAGAUGAUGGAUGGCAAGUGUGUUAUACAUUAAGUGCCAUAGAGAGGUUGAGCCUUAGUUUGAGUGUGACUGCCAUUGAGGUUGUUUGCACUCUGACCACUCUAGAUGGGAUGGAUGGGGAAGUUUGAAUCUGAGACUUCUCUGGGGACAAACUGGCACUGCUAGGAGGAGGGGAGUGGGUGGAUGGGGACUUGGAGUGGGGGCAGGCCCCCACCUCCAGCUCUCUGCCCCUCGAACUCCUCUCUGCAUCUGUAGCCAAAGUCAGCCUUGGGUGUGGAGUCCACCUAUCAGGAGGCACUUUCCCAAUGCAAGUUGGACAGGGAUACAUUUUCCCAGGCCCUUCAGACACCUGUUGGGCUAGUGCAGGUAUUCCACUAUAAGAUCAUUCACGGAACUCUCGCAUCAGCUUACAGGCACUACUCAGUUUACUUCUAGCUACUUGAGGGUUGUGGAGCCCCGUCUACCUGGCUGUUUCCCCAAGAUGACUUUUUACCAGGUGUGAGCUUCAUCCAGCUCAGCCAGCUAAAUGAGCGUGGAGCUCCUACUUGGUCUGAUGUGAAGAGCAGAAGGAAGGCCCAGUCUCCCACCCUCCCCUCCACUGGGACAGAACAUCACAGAACCUCAGGGUCAAAGGCAGGCUGAGAUUUUCCAG
ensembl:lncRNA